UACGUAGGUGGCAAGCGUUGUCCGGAUUUACUGGGCGUAAAGCGCGCGUAGGCGGCUCACCAAGUCUGGGGUGAAAUCUCCGCUCACUGGAGAGGUCUCCAGAUACUGGUGGGCGUUGAGGGGAGGCAGAGGAGAGCGGAAUUCCCGGUCGUAGCGGUGAUAUGCGUAGAUAUCGGGAGGAACACCAGUGGCGAAGGCGGCUCUCUGGGCUCUGCCUGACGCUGAGGCGCG
rnacentral:rRNA from 1 species